AUGAGCAAGUUCCACUCUCUGAUUAUGACAGACAAGAGGCAUGCUAGCAUGGAAAACAUCACUGUCAGGAACCAGCAAUGUCAUGCAAAGAAACCAAACCCUUGUGAUAAAAAGAUUUCUGAACACGUAGUGUGGUGGUUAUGCUGUUAUCAACAGUUGAUCUUGGAAAGAAAGAGAUGGGCCUUCUGUCCUCCGAGUUAUGACAGAAGGUAAUUAUUUGGGUUUUUGGUCUUAUAUCUGAAAGUACUGAGUUUGUGUUUCAGAAACAUAGGUAAAGAUUAAUGAAAUAAAGGAACAAUAGCAAAUGCA
rnacentral:lncRNA from 1 species